AUUGAACGCUGGCGGCAGGCCUAACACAUGCAAGUCGAGCGAGCGGCGGACGGGUGAGUAAUGUCUGGGAAACUGCCUGAUGGAGGGGGAUAACUACGGGAAACGGUAGCUAAUACCGCAAACAAUCAGAGGUGCCCAGAUGGGAUUCGCUAGUAGGUGGGGUAACGGCGCACCUAGGCGACGAUCCCUAGCUGGUCUUAGAGGAUGACCAGCCACACUGGACCUGAGACACGGUCCAGACUCCUACGGGAGGCAGCAGUGGGGAAUAUUGCACAAUGGGCGCAAGCCUGAUGCAGCCAUGCCGCGGGUGUGAAGAAGGCCUUCGGGUUGUAAAGCACUUUCAGCGGGGAGGCGUUACCCGCAGAAGAAGCACCGGCUAACUCCGUGCCAGCAGCCGCGGUAAUAC
rnacentral:rRNA from 1 species